rnacentral:rRNA from 1 species
GUGGGGAAUUUUGCGCAAUGGGCGAAAGCCUGACGCAGCAACGCCGCGUGCGGGACGAAGGCCUUCGGGUUGUAAACCGCUUUCAGCAGGGAUGAAACUGACAGUACCUGCAGAAGAAGCCCCGGCUAACUACGUGCCAGCAGCCGCGGUAAUACGUAGGGGGCAAGCGUUAUCCGGAUUCAUUGGGCGUAAAGCGCGCGUAGGCGGCUUGUUAAGCGAGAUGUGAAAACCGGGGGCUUAACCCGCGGCCUGCAUCUCGAACUGGCAGGCUUGAGUCUGGUAGAGGAAAGUGGAAUUCCCAGUGUAGCGGUGAAAUGCGCAGAUAUUGGGAGGAACACCAGUGGCGAAGGCGGCUUUCUGGGCCACGACUGACGCUGAGGCGCGAAAGCUAGGGGAGCGAACAGGAUUAGAUACCCUUGUAGUCC